rnacentral:rRNA from 1 species
UACGAAGGGGGCGAGCGUUGUUCGGAUUUACUGGGCGUAAAGGGCGCGCAGGCGGCUUUGUUUGUCAGGCGUGAAAGCCCCGGGCUCAACCUGGGAAUGGCCGUUGAAACUGGCGAACUGGAGUGUGGCAGAGGGGGGUGGAAUUCCGCGUGUAGCAGUGAAAUGCGUAGAGAUGCGGAGGAACACCGAUGGCGAAGGCAGCCCCCUGGGCUGACACUGACGCUCAGGCACGAAAGCGUGGGGAGCAAACAGG